rnacentral:lncRNA from 1 species
UUUUUUUUUUUUAUUUUAUUGUGUCUUGGUAGCUGCUCUCAAUGUGAAGACAUGUCUUCCUUCAACUGUAUAGCAUUUGUCUCCUCUCAUUUACUAUUCCUGCCUUUUGGAACGCAACUCAGUCAAUAUUGGACUUCUAAAUCCUUCAACAUGUAUUCAUCCAUCUUUUUGUGAUUUUUUCUUUUUUGCACGACAGGGCAUAUUUUUCAUUUUAAUAUACAGAUUCUAUUCCUUUAAAAAUUGUUCUGCAUAAAAAUCCAAACCCAGAAGCUAAAAUUAAUUUUUAGGGACCUCUCUUUAAGCACUCAUCUCCCUUGUGACAUUAUUAUAUAUGCUUUAAAAAUGUCUACACAUGAUUCUGAUUAGCUGCCAAAUAAUAACUCAAAAUCAUCUCCACAUUGCUUCACUGAAAUGUUGUAUUUAGUUUGGGGUACGUGAAUAUACAUUUUACUAUUAAAUACCAGAUAAAAUGGGAAGUUCUACGAACUUUGGAUAUCAGAGAGACAUUCUGUCCUGUGUGGCUCUAAUUUCUUAGCACAAUCUUUCCACUCACUAGUUUAAUCUUCUGGUUUGACAAAUUGCUUACUUUUCUCCCAUAAUUAAAAUUUUAUACUUUGAUGAUCAGUUUCUUCUUUCAUUUUAUAAGCUUAUUCUUAUUACUAUUGCUAGUAAAUGUUUUAUUUUACUGCCUUCCUUCCUCCCUCAAAGGAUAUUGCUUAUAUUUAUUUUAAAGUUUUCUAUUUUCCAGUGUGCUUGGGUGGUUCAGUCCUUGAGUCUGCCUUUGGCUCAGGCCAUGAUUUUAGGGUUCCUGGAUGGAGCCCUACAUCAGACUCCCUGAUCAGCAAAGGGUCUGCUUCUCUCUCUCUCCCUCUCCCUUGGCUUAUGCUCAUUCUCUGUCAAAUACAUAAAUAAAAUAUUUUUUAAAAGUAAAGUUUUCUAUUUCCCUAAAAUCUGCUCAUUGGGAGCUAUUUCCUAUUUUACUCUUUUGGUCUCUUUCAUGGUAGAGCUGUUUUCUCAAAAGAUAGGUGUUCUUAGAUGAUCUGUUCUUAUUUUCUAUUGAGGUUCUAAUUUGAAUAGUGCAUUUCUUCAACCAAAACAUGAAUUUUAUUUUGGCAUUCCUUGCAUAUACUCUUUGCUGUGAUUUAUUCAGUUCUGGUAUUUCUCUUAAUUCAAUUUUACCUAUUUGCUAUCUUAUAGGAAUUUCUCAUAAUUUCUGGUUUACUUUUAUUUCUGGUUUACUUUUAUUUCUGGUUUAUUUCAUAUGUAUAUGAAAUAUGUCUCAUAUAUAUGUCUCAUAUACACAUAUGAGACAGAGAAACUAAGUAUAUAUUUAGCUUUAUAAUUCUUUAAAACAUUUUUAUUAAGUACAUGAUAUUUUCAUUGUGUUUUUAAUUGUACAUGAAUUUGUAUGCAAUCUGCCAUUUUGGCCCAAUUUUCACCUAUUUUACAACCUGUUAGUAAAGUUGUAUAAUUUAAUAUAAAUUUUAUAUCUUUUCAUUAUACUAAUAUAUGGCUCUGACAUCCAUUUCCCACAGGUGAGGGGUUUUCCCCCCAUAUGAGGCAAUUCUCUAACCAGCUAGGUAUCCUUAUAAUUCAACUCAGUUCUGAUACUACCUUGAGAUAGUAUCAGAUCCCACAGGUUGAGGGCUCAGUUUUAUAAGACAGCCCUGGCCCUUUCACUUCAGAGGCCACUUGCAAGUUCCAGUUUUCAUCUGAGCUUUUGAUCAACCAGCUUUCUGGAGGUUCUAACAACCCUCUCCUUGGGUUUGAUUAAUUUGUUCAAGUGGCUCACAGAAUACCAAAACAUUUUACUUACUAGAUCAUGGGCUUAUUAUAAAAUGAUAUAACCCAGAACAGCCAGAAGGAAGAGAUGCACAGGGCAAGGUAUGGAGGAAGGAUGUAUGUAGAGCUUCCACACUCUUCCCAAGCACACCAUUCUCCCCAAACCUCCACAUGUUUACAAACCCAGAUGCUGUCCAAACCUGUUCUUUGGAACUCUUAUGAAGGAUUCGUCACUUAGGCAUGACUGAUUAAAUCACUGGCCCUUGGUGAACUCAAUCUCCAAUCCCACCCUGCUCCCUGGAGCUGGAAGAGAGGAGUGGUGGGACUAAAAGUUCCAACCUUCAAACCUCAGGGUUGGUUCCUUAGGCAACCAAUCCUCAGGUGCUUCCCCAGUUUACAACACUAACAUAACAAGAGAUAUCUUUAUUGCUCUCACUGUUUAGGAAAUUCCAAGGAUUUUAGGAGCUCUGUGCCAGGAAUGAGGAUGAAAAUCAAAUCAAUAUUUCUUAUAAUAUCACAACUAAUAAUAUUUUUUAAAUUUACAUCCUUAUUGAAAAUUUGGUGAUCUAAUGGGAAAAUUGUUGAAGUAUUAUUUUCAUUAGAAGGUGAUUUUUUUUUUAAUUUUUAUUUAUUUAUGAUAGUCACAGAGAGAGAGAGAGAGAGGCAGAGACACAGGCAGAGGGAGAAGCAGGCUCCAUGCACCGGGAGCCCGACGUGGGAUUCGAUCCCAGGUCUCCAGGAUCGCGCCCUGAGCCAAAGGCAGGCGCUAAACCGCUGCGCCACCCAGGGAUCCCUAGAAGGUGAUUUUUAAUCCAGAUAUAUUUUCUUAGUGAAAGAACUGGAUAUCAUUUGUAUCUCCAGAUUUAACAUAUAGAUGGAAUAUAUGAUAGAAGCCCAAGCCCUAAAUUCCUCAUUGGAUAAUCUGAAUGUCAAAUUAAAUGACAGUGAAAUUCUGCUAUGGUAUAAGAUCAUAUACAUGAAAGGUGUUACUUCAUUCUUUCUUAUUUAAUUAAAUCCCUUUGAGGGAAAGGAUGACUUUUAAUUUUUCAUAUGUAUCUACUGUCUACAUCAUGGUUGAAUUACUUGGAGGAUAUCAAAUAGUUAACAUUUUCCUGUGUCUGAUGCCUUUACCUACAAUGAUUCGCUGCUUAGAGUUCUCAAAUUCCUCCCCUCCAGACUCAUAGUCUUCAAGACCCACUUAAAUGCAUGGCUUCUUAUGGGACUAGUCCCCUACAGCUCAACCUUCAUCAACUCUGCAACCUGUAGGCUAGAUGGUGUCCCAUUCUGCAUGCCAUUUACUAGCCAGAGCAUAGCUCUAUCACUUCAUUUACUGCAUUGCCUGAGAAGUCUCCCACCUGUGCCUGUGAGCAUCUUGAAUUGCACAUCUUUGUAUCACUAGUGCCUAGUAAGUGCUAAACCUCAAAAACAUUCAUUUCUCUCCUAAACUAGUUUAUGAUCUUCUUGAGAGCAGGGACUGUGGGUGCCUUCCUUUUGUUUUCAUGGCACAUAAUAGUAAUAAUUGCAGCAUUUAUAGUGUUAUCACUCUUCUAAGUAGUAAUUGUAUCUAUUUUUUCUUCAUCUAUUCAUUACAACAAACCUGACAGGUGAUAUUACUCCAUACAUUUUAUUUUUUUACUUAAAUUCAAUUAGUGAAUAUAUAAUUCAUCAUUAGUUUCAGAUGUAGUGUUCAAUAAUUUAUCAAUUGUGUAUAACACCCAGGGCACAUCACAUGUGCCCUCCUUAACGCCCAUCACCCAAUUACCCCAUCCCACCACCCAUCUCCCCUCCAGCAAGCCUCAGUUUGUUUCCUAUUAUUCCAUACAUUUUAAAGAAAAAGAAAAAUGAAGGUACAGAGAGAUCAAGUAAACUCCCCAGGUCACACAGCUAGUCAGUGUCAAAACCAAUAUUGACACAAUAUUGUUCAGCUCCUAAGUAUAAUACUAUGCUUAAGCACAGGCUUGGUAAUACUGAUUCAAUGCAGAUGCAUCAGAAGAGUAAAAAGCACAAUGUGAAUUCUCAAGUAGACAUCAUGGUUUCUAAGCUACCUCUUUUUGUAUAUCCAGUCUAACAUUUAAUAUAAAAAGCUGUAUCUUUGUUCAUGUAAAAACAUGAACAAAGUAAAGUCAUGUAAUUUCUUCAAAGAUUUGCAGUGAUUUUCCUAAAAUAGCUACGGACUAUCACCAGAUGUUUUCAAUAAUUUAACUAUUAAUUUUAAGAAAGUGUUUGCAACAUGCUCUGGUUAUUGAGAAUACAUUUGACCAUAUCACUGUCUUUCUGAAUGAAUGUAAAUAAUCAGAUUUCGACAGGUAGUAUCUCAAGACAAAUUCAGUUUAUGCACUUCCAAUGGCUUUCUUAAAUUUUAGGGCAAAAUCAGCUUAUUCUUUGAAUGAAUAGCUAUACAUAAGCAAGCAGAGAUUAAGAUUCAAGCAUCGAUCAAUCUUGUACUCCUUGGAAGAAACCGCUUUUAUUUUAAUGCUAUAUAAAAAUGCAAAAUAUUUAAAUCUUGAAAAUUGAUCUUUUUAAAAAAACUCUACCACUAUGUAUUUGUGAUUCAUUUUUACAUAUUUUGUCAACGAUGUCUUUUUGAGAAUGACACAGGUAGAAAUGCAGGGAAAUGUCUUAUCUAGUCUGACAAAAAUUAUUUUGGAUAAACAUUUAAAAUAUCAAUUUAAAUAAAUGUUAAAUGAGCGUUUUCUUGCAUCAGAAAUAAACCAAUUAACUCAAUAAACCAAGACCUGCAAAAAUCACGCCCUACAACACACACACUCACACACAAAGUUAAAUAUACCCUUCUCGGCGUUCUAAGGUAUUUCAUUGCAGCCUUCCUAACUCCCUGUGCAUGGAAGUAAUAAUACUACAUAUCCCUAGUUUUAUUUCACUUCCUUUUUUUUUCUCUUCUCAAGCGCUGUCGUAAAAAUAAAUGAAUAUUGUUCCACUGUGCAUGCUUUUUACACUCCUCAUGAUGAGAAUGGAUUCGUGAUAACCCAUUUAUUUUCUUUUCUUCUAACAAUCUUUGCAGCAAGAAUGAGAUGCCUGAAUUUUAAUGCCUAAUAUGAUCUUUGUAAACCUAUAAACUUUUAAUAGACUUUAAACAUAAAGUGAGGGAGAGGAUAAAUAGCAAGGAAGUCUGUGGUUUGUCCCAGGAAAUCCUGAUUAAUAGCCUUCUGAUUGUGUCAGACCACCCUGAAUAUUUUCUGAAAACAAUUGGUUCAUUUUAUUGCCAAAUAAAUUGUAAUUAAUUAAAAAAAAUAAAUUGUAAUUGAACUUACCAACUUCUAACCAAAUAAUCUAAAUGAAGAGAAGGGACAGAAGAACACAUAUUUCUUUAUAUGAUAUAGCAUGUAGGAUACGUCUCAUUUUAUUUACUCUACCAUAUUCAUUCCUGCUAAUUUCAUGUGAUAAACACAACAGGUUUAAGAUGACAAAGUUUUUUAGUUUCUUUUUUUAGAUUUGUACUCUCUGUGAAUCUUUUUUAGAUCUCCAUCUUUAAUAUGAAGCCAGAAACAUCAACACUGUUUUUAAAAUCUCAAAGGCAAAAUAUUGACUAAUUUCAGUGGUAUGCAAGCACAGAAUUUAAAGCCUCCUUAGAAGGAAAAAAUCUCUUCUGUAAUAUCACCUUUAGUAAUAUUUAUUAUAUUAUUUGAAAUUUUGUCCUCUGGAAUUUUUAAAAGUAAAUUAUAAGCAUUAUGAUGUUUACAGGUCUGUAAAUAAGUUAGCCUUUCAAGGCCUGAAUGAAACGAAAAUGCAAGUGUGCUUUAUAAACAGAAAAAUUGUGGGCUUAGGCAUUGAGAAUGCAGAAAAGGUUCAAAUCAUAUAAAUUUGUUAAUUUCCUUUUACUGACUUCUUUUAAAAUACAAUGUGAGAUUUUUUUAUUACAUAAAAGAUAAGUAAGAACCUGAUCUCUUGGAGUGAUAAAAUACUAUAAAUGAUCCUUCUAGAAUUGCAUAUCCCUUUAAAUGGAGAGGAGAAGAAAACACUUAAAAAAAUUAGUUGGUAUUGCUACAAUAUACACAACCCCCCGAGCUUUGCCUUUUAAAUCAGCAUUCUGCUGUUAAAUAAUAAAAGAAAAGUCCCAUUAUUUUCCCAGCUUCACUUUGCUUAAAGUGAUUGAUGUAGAAUUUUACUGCCAUCCAAUGGCAGCUGCCUAAUAUAGCUCAAGUAAAUGUCUAAAGCUUUUUGAUCAAAUUGCAGUCUAGGGAAUUUAACUUAUGUAGUACACUCAGAACUUACAUCAAUACAUCUCUGUUUGUUACACAGUGAGAAAGAAAUAUGACUACAGUUUCAAUUUAUUGUGCGUUCUUCAAAUUCAAUUUAACAGUGAAUUACUAAUAUUGCUGAACAUAAUUACCUAAAUGAAUAAAUCAACCUAGGCUACUCACUAGAGAGAACAUUAGAGCAUAAUAUUAAUUUUUACAUGCACCUCAUCAUAUUAGUUUAAAAGGUUUCUUUUUACAACUAACAAUCUUUUCCUACCAGGCAAAAUGGCCUUUAUUAAAAGACUGUUCUCAGCUUUACUUCUGUUAUUUGGAAGUCAUUUGAAUCUUUUUAGCUGCUACUGUAUAUCAUAUAAUUUCUGAUUAACAUCAAAUCACAUACUGUUUUAAUUAUAAUCUUCAUUCCUAAAUGAUUGAGUAUUUAGAUCAUUUCUCAAAAAGGCAAAAUAAAAAUUAUGUCUGAUUGAUAUGAAUGAGUUUGUGCUUUAAAUAUUCAAGCUUAGUUAUUUAAAAUUCCCAAUUUGAGGUAGAAGAGUUGAUGGAUAAUAAACCAAUUUUCUUUUUCAUUAACAUUAACUAAAAUAUAAUAUGUUUAAUAUUAUAGGUAAAUUGCUAUUAGCUGCGGUAUUAUUGAAAUAAAACUUCACAAAAACAUAUUGUUUGGUUUAUUUAUAUAUAAAUGGCACUUUGCUAAA